rnacentral:rRNA from 1 species
CUACGUGCCAGCAGCCGCGGUAAUACGUAGGGCGCGAGCGUUAUCCGGAUUUAUUGGGCGUAAAGCGCUUGUAGGCGGUUAGUCGAGUCUGCUGUGAAAGGCCGGGGCUUAACUCUGUAUUGCAGUGGGUACGGGCAGACUAGAGUACUGUAGGGGAGACUGGAAUUACAGGUGUAGCGGUGGAAUGCGCAGAUAUCAGGAGGAAUGCCGAUGGCGAAGGCAGCUUACUGGACAGAUACUGACGCUAAGAAGCGAAAGCGUGGGGAGCGAACAGGAUUAGAUACCCUGGUAGUCCACGCUGUAAACGUUGGGUACUAGGUGUUGGGGACAUUCCACGUUUUCCGCGCCCAAGCAAACGCGUUAAGUGCCCCGCCUGGGGAGUACGUACGCAAGGCUAAAACUCAAAGGAAUUGACGGGGACCCGCACAAGCGGCGGAGCAUGCGGUUUAAUUCGAUGCAACGCGAGGAACCUUACCAAGGCUUGACAUC